GUGGGGAAUAUUGGGCAAUGGGCGAAAGCCUGACCCAGCAACGCCGCGUGAAGGAAGAAGGCCCUCGGGUUGUAAACUUCUUUUAAGAGGGACGAAAGAAAUGACGGUACCUCUUGAAUAAGCCACGGCUAACUACGUGCCAGCAGCCGCGGUAAUACGUAGGUGGCGAGCGUUAUCCGGAUUUACUGGGUGUAAAGGGCGUGUAGGCGGGAGUGCAAGUCAGAUGUGAAAAUUAUGGGCUCAACCCAUAACCUGCAUUUGAAACUGUUCUUCUUGAGUGAUGGAGAGGCAGGCGGAAUUCCGUGUGUAGCGGUGAAAUGCGUAGAUAUACGGAGGAACACCAGUGGCGAAGGCGGCCUGCUGGACAUUAACUGACGCUGAGGCGCGAAAGCGUGGGGAGCAAACAGGAUUAGAUACCCCGGUAGUCC
rnacentral:rRNA from 1 species